ACGCUAGCUACAGGCUUAACACAUGCAAGUCGAGGGGAAACGGCAUUUAGUGCUUGCACCGAAUGGACGUCGACCGGCGCACGGGUGAGUAACGCGUAUCCAACUUUCCCAUAACUAAGGGAUAACCUGCCGAAAGGCAGACUAAUACCUUAUGUAAUCCUUUGAUGGCAUCAGAUAAGGAUAAAAGAUUUAUCGGUUAUGGAUGGGGAUGCGUCUGAUUAGCUUGUUGGCGGGGUAACGGCCCACCAAGGCAACGAUCAGUAGGGGUUCUGAGAGGAAGGUCCCCCACAUUGGAACUGAGACACGGUCCAAACUCCUACGGGAGGCAGCAGUGAGGAAUAUUGGUCAAUGGACGGAAGUCUGAACCAGCCAAGUAGCGUGCAGGAUGACGGCCCUAUGGGUUGUAAACUGCUUUUGUAUGGGGAUAAAGUCAAUCACGUGUGAUUGUUUGCAGGUACCAUACGAAUAAGGACCGGCUAAUUCCGUGCCAGCAGCCGCGGUAAUACGGAAGGUUCGGGCGUUAUCCGGAUUUAUUGGGUUUAAAGGGAGCGUAGGCCGGAGAUUAAGUGUGUUGUGAAAUGUAGACGCUCAACGUCUGACUUGCAGCGCAUACUGGUUUCCUUGAGUACGCACAACGUUGGCGGAAUUCGUCGUGUAGCGGUGAAAUGCUUAGAUAUGACGAAGAACUCCGAUUGCGAAGGCAGCUGACGGGAGCGCAACUGACGCUGAAGCUCGAAGGUGCGGGUAUCGAACAGGAUUAGAUACCCUGGUAGUCCGCACAGUAAACGAUGGAUGCCCGCUGUUGGUACCUGGUAUCAGCGGCUAAGCGAAAGCAUUAAGCAUCCCACCUGGGGAGUACGCCGGCAACGGUGAAACUCAAAGGAAUUGACGGGGGCCCGCACAAGCGGAGGAACAUGUG
rnacentral:rRNA from 1 species